UUAUGGCUCAGGAUGAACGCUGGCGGCGUGCUUAACACAUGCAAGUCGAACGAAGCAACUUAUUACGAUCCCUUCGGGGUGACGAUUUGUUGACUGAGUGGCGGACGGGUGAGUAACGCGUGGGUAACCUGCCUUGUACAGGGGGACAACAGUUGGAAACGACUGCUAAUACCGCAUAAGCGCACAGCUUCGCAUGAAGCGGUGUGAAAAAGUUUUUCGGUACAAGAUGGACCCGCGUCUGAUUAGCUAGUUGGUGAGGUAACGGCCCACCAAGGCGACGAUCAGUAGCCGACCUGAGAGGGUGACCGGCCACAUUGGGACUGAGACACGGCCCAAACUCCUACGGGAGGCAGCAGUGGGGAAUAUUGCACAAUGGGCGAAAGCCUGAUGCAAGCGACGCCGCGUGAGCGAAGAAGUAUUUCGGUAUGUAAAGCUCUAUCAGCAGGGAAGAUAAUGACGGUACCUGACUAAGAAGCACCGGCUAAAUACGUGCCAGCCGCCGC
rnacentral:rRNA from 1 species